GACAGAGGAUGCAAGCGUUAUCCGGAAUGAUUGGGCGUAAAGCGUCUGUAGGUGGCUUUUUAAGUCCGCCGUCAAAUCCCAGGGCUCAACCCUGGACAGGCGGUGGAAACUACCAAGCUGGAGUACGGUAGGGGCAGCUGGAACAAAUGGUGGAGCGGUGAAAUGCGUAGAUAUCAUUUGGAACGCCAAAGGCGAAAGCAGGCUGCUGGGAGUGAUCUGACACUGAGACGCGAAAGCCAGGGGAGCAAACGGG
rnacentral:rRNA from 1 species